rnacentral:rRNA from 1 species
AACGAACGCUGGCGGCAGGCUUAACACAUGCAAGUCGAACGCCCCGCAAGGGGAGUGGCAGACGGGUGAGUACCGCGUGGGAACAUACCCUUUCCUGCGGAAUAGCUCCGGGAAACUGGAAUUAAUACCGCAUACGCCCUACGGGGGAAAGAUUUAUCGGGGAAGGAUUGGCCCGCGUUGGAUUAGCUAGUUGGUGGGGUAAAGGCCUACCAAGGCGACGAUCCAUAGCUGGUCUGAGAGGAUGAUCAGCCACAUUGGGACUGAGACACGGCCCAAACUCCUACGGGAGGCAGCAGUGGGGAAUAUUGGACAAUGGGCGCAAGCCUGAUCCAGCCAUGCCGCGUGAGUGAUGAAGGCCUUAGGGUUGUAAAGCUCUUUCACCGAUGAAGAUAAUGACGGUAGUCGGAGAAGAAGCCCCGGCUAACUUCGUG